GUACGCUAUUCAGAGUUUGAUCCUGGCUCAGGAUGAACGCUAGCGGCAGGCUUAACACAUGCAAGUCGAGGGGCAGCGUAAUGAAGUAGCAAUACUGAUUUGACGGCGACCGGCGCACGGGUGCGUAACGCGUAUGCAACCUACCUCUAACAGGGGGAUAACACUGAGAAAUUGGUACUAAUACCCCAUAAUACUUUAGGAGGCAUCUUCUGGAGUUGAAAGUUCCGGCGGUUAGAGAUGGGCAUGCGUUGUAUUAGCUAGAUGGUGAGGUAACGGCUCACCAUGGCGACGAUACAUAGGGGGACUGAGAGGUUAACCCCCCACACUGGUACUGAGACACGGACCAG
rnacentral:rRNA from 1 species